CCGGAUUGGCGUCCGGACCGGAUUGGCGUCCGGACCGGAUUGGCGUCCAGGCUAAGGAUGACAUGAGGAGAUGCUACAGCCCAGUUGGUGACCCAGCCUGAUGUUCACAUCACUGUCUCAGAAGGAAAUUUUCUGGAGCUGAGGUGCAACCAUUUCUAUGGUGCGGCAGUUUUCCUCUUCUGGUACAUCCAGUAUCCCAGUCAGGGCCUGCAGCUUCUUCUCAAGUAUAGUUUAGGAGACCCUCUGGUUCAAGGCCUCAAAGGCAUUGAGGCUGAAUUGAAGAGGAGUGACUCUUCCUUCCACCUGAGGAAAUACUCGGUGUAUGUGAGUGACUCACCUGAAUACUUUUGUGCCUUGAGUGUCACAGUGCCUGGGACUGUAAGAGCAGCUGAACAAAAACCAGCCACCUAGAGGACAUUCCAGAAGCUCAAGUCUCUCUGUGGUGUUUUGAACACUUGCUUUGUAAUGGGCAAUGAGGAAAGGCGGGCUGAGCAGAAACCACUCCCCUUUACAGGAUUCUGCAGUUCUUGCUGCAAUAUCCCACGUCUGGUGAACCUUCUUAGACAAUUUAAUUUGCACACACUCCAUACACCAUAGUCUAUGUUGAAAAACACUUAAUGUAAAUUGUGUAAUCAUAAUGCUUUGCUACAAUGAUUCUUGUUGAGUGAAGAUACUCAACAACUUAUAGGUCAUUGUUCUUACAAGGUUUGAAGCUAUAAGUCAUGUAAUUGUGAAUCAAAUGCUAUAAACAAUGAUUAUUUAAAUAUGAGAAGUCUUGGUAGGCAACACUAGAACAUUCACCAAUUUGUUAUUUAAUAUCAAAUUUGUUAUUUAAUAACAUUAUUUAUCACACAAUACAUAUAUUUGUAAGUUCAUUAUAUCUACAUACAUAAAUAUGUAUAUUUCCAGUCAUCUGAAUGUUGUGAAAAUAAUUAGAUAUAACUUUGGUGGAAUAUCAAAGGUAAGAGAAUGCUUGUAUUUGGGAAACAGACUAGAACAUGAAUUUAAAAAGUAGAAUGUUAGAAGUUGAAAUUUUUUUAUGUAUAGUUAUGACUCUAAUUGCUUUUCUGUGAUUGAUUUCAUAUAAUGGAAUACUGAAAAUAGAUCCUAUGUUAGUUUUCUAAUGGUGCCAUAGUAAACUAUGGCUGGGUGAAUAAACUUAACAGAAGUGUACUUUCUCACUA